rnacentral:rRNA from 1 species
GACGAACCGUGCGAACGUUGUUCGGAUUCACUGGGCUUAAAGGGCGCGUAGGCGGCUUGCCCAGUCGGGGGUGAAAUCUUUCGGCUCAACCGGAAAACAGCCCCCGAUACUGGCAGGCUGGAGGGAGGCAGGGGCAUGCGGAACUUCCGGUGGAGCGGUGAAAUGCGUAGAUAUCGGAAGGAACGCCGGUGGCGAAAGCGGCGUGCUGGACCUCACCUGACGCUGAGGCGCGAAAGCCAGGGGAGCAAACGGG